rnacentral:lncRNA from 10 species
UUUCCAUUUAGCUACUUUACUUUCUGUAAAGAACGAAUGUUACCCUGGUUACUUUUUAGAACCCACUGAAAUGCCUCUGCAUGCAUAUAGCUUGAGCUGUUUUCACCAUGGCCCCGUGCUUGCUAAUGUCAUGCCCACUUUGGGCGCUAAUAUUCUUUAGGACAGUUCUAGCGCCUUGGACUUUACCAUUAUCCCGCCUGUUAAGGAAAGAAAAGGAGGCCGAACCGAAACAAUCCCCACCAGGCGCGUAGGCGCGGCUCUUCGUUACAGUCGAUACACAACCACAAAGAGAAAAGGAAAACCCCAAGCAUCAUUCAGCAACAAGACCAAUCUCUCUCCUCUCUGCUCUCUCGCGCUCUCUCCUGCUUUUCUCCCUCUCCUCUCUUAUCUCCUCCUCCUCUCUCCUACAUACCUCCACACAUACACACACCCCAACAUUAGGAUUCGGGGGGGGGCAGGAGGUGUGGGCGCCAGGCGCUGCCUGUGGGCGCUCGUCCGAGCCCGAGUCCCCCAGGAGCUUGCCGGCCGCGCCUGUGAGUCGCCCACUCUUAGGAUCUUCGAGGCGGCUCUGCGCCGGGCUUUCAGGAGCUGUCCCGAUCCGGAGGGGUCGCGUGUCUUUCUCGGCUCUUUGGGGAGCCUCUGCAUCCCUCCACCUUUCGUCUGACCUAGCGGCCCGCGCCCGCCACCCGGGAGUCUGCUUCUCUUCCUUCCUUUUCUCUCCAACUUUUCCUCUUAGCAAUCUCCAUGGCCCGCUUCGCCCGCCUCGACUUCCCUCCUUUUCUAAAUCCGCUUCGCCUUUCCGAAGUUUUUAUUUCCAACCUCGACGUCUCAGCAGAACCUUCCCUUCCUCCCUUCCCCUGGCAACCACCUGGGGCUGUCCCAGACCAUUCCGCUUAAAAGCGAGGCUCCGCGGGCUUCCCGGUCCCCAGCCUGGCCCGCCGCGCGCCCCGCGCCUCGCCCGCCUCGGCCGCCUCUCCCACCUCGCCCGCCUCUCCCACCUCGCCCGCCUCGGCCGCCUCGUCCGCCUAGUCCGCCUCGCCCGCGAGUAGCGGAGCCGUCUGGCCGCGUCAGCCCUCGCCCGAGCCGGAAAAGGGCUUUGGCGAGCGCGGUCCGGGCCCCGGAGGCGGCUGGCGUCCUCCUGGCUGGGCGCAACUUCUCCUGCCCCGAAGAGUUGAGCUAGCCUCAGUGCUAGAGACCCGUACGCAUUGAACGUGGGCAGAAAUUUCCGUGAAAGAUGCCCACACAGGAGGCGGCUGCGAUUUCUGUUCGGACGCAGUGACCCUCAAGGAAGCAAAACACAAGAAAACAGAAACUAAUAAACUGCUACGACUUCUAUUUUGCUCUAUCCAUCCAUAUCUCCAGCCAUCUACUUCUUUCCCGCUAAUUCUCUGUCCUCUACUUGGAACCAUUUGUUAUCAAUUUCAGAAAUUUUAUUGAAAAUAAAAAUUAAAAGCCCGAGUCUGUUACAAAUGAGGCUUGAAAACCCAAUUCUCUUCCACACUUAAAACGAGAAAAGCCCCUGACUUUAUCAGAAUCUCGAUUUUCUCUGAGAGCGUGCCCACAUUCAGUAGCACCACAUUCCCCAUCAGAGCUUAAAAGGGUGGGGUGGGGUGGGGGGAGGCGAGGAAAAGGGAAAGAAAAAUAAAAUAAAUAAAAACAUUCCUAAAUUAAAGUUGUCAGAUUUCAGCCUUAAAGUCCCUUUUCAGAGCAGCGAAGUCUUCCCUAGCCAGCUUUUCUAAAAGUUAAAAAAAGCUGAGAAAACCGACCGGAAAUCUACGAGUAAAUAGCUUAAAAAUAUAUAUCAUUUGGGGUAUCAAGAAGCUCAAAUUCUCUAUCUGCAAAGCUCUAAGGUGCAUCUGGGGGUGUCGACUCACCUCAUAGAUAUCUUCGUACUUGACAUUCUCCACAAGCUUCCAGAGCAUGAUGGCAGCCUGGUCUCUAGGAGGGUGCGGAGAGCUUCUCAUAGCCGGAACAGACGCCCAGAAGAGGAUCUCUGCGCCUGGGACAGAAAAGAAAUGCCAGGAGGGACCGAGGAGGGAUGGGGCAAUUUGGGGUGGAAGUUAUUAAGCCUGGUGAGAGUGAAUCUGCAAAGGGUGAUUGUCUUUAAAUCCAGGACUGCUGUGUGCAGCUCUGCGCGAACAGGGAUGGACGCUGUUUGAGUACAGGGCUCCGGACAACCUUGUUGGACGUCGAUUCAAUCAAAACCAAGGAGAAGCUUCAUGAACUGCAGAAUAAACAAUUCUGCAGAUUUUUAAUUUAAUUUUUAAAGAUAAGUCAAAGGAAAAGAACACAAAGAAGGUGCUUCAGAAGGAACUUCAGAAAUAAACCCCUUAUUUCCGGUUGAAUUUUUUAUGUUUCGUCUUUCCUUUUCUCCUCUUCCUCCUUUUUGUUUUCCUUUUUUCUUUCCUUCAUUUCCCUUUUCGUUCCUUCCUUUCUCUCUCCAUUCCUUUCUUCCCCUUUAAAUGUUAACCUUAAAUCAUACACAAUCUAUACAGAUUUUUCACUAGGAGCAUCAGCAAAGAUUUUCUUCUUUGCUUCCAGAGCUAGUUAGGAGAUGAGAAGGGAUUUUUCUUAAUCUUAUUGUGUGGUGGGACUUGAAACGGGUUCCACACCCCCUGACUUCUAGAACUAAAAUCAGUGCCAGAUCAAUAAUCUGAAAGAUAAAUAUUAUAGACUUGGAAGUUCAGAUUCUCCAGGCACAAGACAUUUAAUUAAUGGAAAUAAUUGUUUUCUCCCUUUCAAAUCAAUAAUUCUGUCAUUGUUAUUACCUAAAGAUCAUUACAACCCAAAUAAAAUGCAUUUGGAAAAAUCUCACUUUUUUUCUCUAAAUGCUUUUAACACCUUUUAAUAUCUUUUUGGUAUAUUAUUGCCUAGUCUAAAAUAAAUAAACUCUGAGAUUUAACAAAACAAAACCU